rnacentral:rRNA from 1 species
CUUAGAGUUUGAUCCUGGCUCAAGAGGACCUUUGGCGGCGCGCCUAACACAUGCAAGUCGAACGAGCGAGAGAGAGCUUGCUUUCUCGAGCGAGUGGCGAACGGGUGAGUAACGCGUGAGGAACCUGCCUCAAAGAGGGGGACAACAGUUGGAAACGACUGCUAAUACCGCAUAAGCCCACGGGUCGGCAUCGACCAGAGGGAAAAGGAGCAAUCCGCUUUGAGAUGGCCUCGCGUCCGAUUAGCUAGUUGGUGAGGUAACGGCCCACCAAGGCGACGAUCGGUAGCCGGACUGAGAGGUUGAACGGCCACAUUGGGACUGAGACACGGCCCAGACUCCUACGGGAGGCAGCAGUGGGGAAUAUUGCACAAUGGGGGAAACCCUGAUGCAGCGACGCCGCGUGGAGGAAGAAGGUCUUCGGAUUGUAAACUCCUGUUGUUGAGGAAGAUAAUGACGGUACUCAACAAGGAAGUGACGGCUAACUACGUGCCAGCAGCCGCGGUAAAACGUAGGUCACAAGCGUUGUCCGGAAUUACUGGGUGUAAAGGGAGCGCAGGCGGGAAGACAAGUUGGAAGUGAAAUCCAUGGGCUCAACCCAUGAACUGCUUUCAAAACUGUUUUUCUUGAGUAGUGCAGAGGUAGGCGGAAUUCCCGGUGUAGCGGUGGAAUGCGUUGAUAUCGGGAGGAACACCAGUGGCGAAGGCGGCCUACUGGGCACCAACUGACGCUGAGGCUCGAAAGUGUGGGUAGCAAACAGGAUUAGAUACCCUGGUAGUCCACACCGUAAACGAUGAUUACUAGGUGUUGGAGGAUUGACCCCUUCAGUGCCGCAGUUAACACAAUAAGUAAUCCACCUGGGGAGUACGACCGCAAGGCUGAAACUCAAAGGAAUUGACGGGGGCCCGCACAAGCAGUGGAGUAUGUGGUUUAAUUCGACGCAACGCGAAGAACCUUACCAAGUCUUGACAUCCCUUGACGAUGCUGGAAACAGUAUUUCUCUUCGGAGCAAGGAGACAGGUGGUGCAUGGUUGUCGUCAGCUCGUGUCGUGAGAUGUUGGGUUAAGUCCCGCAACGAGCGCAACCCUUAUGGUCAGUUACUACGCAAGAGGACUCUGGCCAGACUGCCGUUGACAAAACGGAGGAAGGUGGGGAUGACGUCAAAUCAUCAUGCCCUUUAUGACUUGGGCUACACACGUACUACAAUGGCGUUAAACAAAGAGAAGCAAGACCGCGAGGUGGAGCAAAACUCAGAAACAACGUCCCAGUUCGGACUGCAGGCUGCAACUCGCCUGCACGAAGUCGGAAUUGCUAGUAAUCGUGGAUCAGCAUGCCACGGUGAAUACGUUCCCGGGCCUUGCACA